rnacentral:rRNA from 1 species
GACGAACGCUGGCGGCGUGCUUAACACAUGCAAGUCGAACGGAAAGGCCCUGCUUUUGUGGGGUGCUCGAGUGGCGAACGGGUGAGUAACACGUGAGUAACCUGCCCUUGACUUUGGGAUAACUUCAGGAAACUGGGGCUAAUACCGGAUAGGAGCUCCUGCUGCAUGGUGGGGGUUGGAAAGUUUCGGCGGUUGGGGAUGGACUCGCGGCUUAUCAGCUUGUUGGUGGGGUAGUGGCUUACCAAGGCUUUGACGGGUAGCCGGCCUGAGAGGGUGACCGGGCAAAAUGGGGAGGGAAAACAGGCCCAGAGCCCGAGGGGGGGAAGAGGGGGGGAAUUUGAAAAAGGGGGGGGACGCCGGAGGCAGAACCGCCGGGGGGGGGGGGAGGGCCUGGGGGUGUAAACCGGGUUCCGCGGGGGAAGAAGGGGGGGUAGGGGAAGGGGAAAAAGAAGCCCCGGCAAACACGGUC